UGGCUCAGAGCCUGGAGCCUGUUUCAGAUUCUGUGUCUCCCUCUCUCUCUGCCCCUCCCCCGUUCAUGCUCUGUCUCUCUGUGUCCCAAAAAUAAAAUAAAACAUUGAAAAAAAUAUAUAUAUUCAACCCCAACUGAGCAUCGGGAACCAGACUGCCUGAAUUCAACCCCAGCCUCACCUCUCAUUAACUGUGUGGCCCCAGGCAGGCUAUCUCAUGUCUGUAAACCUCCUUUUCCUCAUCUCUAAAAAGGGGGAAAGAAGUGUCCAACUUCAUAGAGUUGCUGUGCAGAUUGACAUAAUCCACGAAAGCGCCUGUCGCCGGGUCUGAAGCUACAAGUAGGUACUGCACUGUGCCAUCUGUGAUUUGCUCUGCCUCCCUCCUGGCACAGAGUCGGCUGUGAUCACCCCCGUGUGGUCUGCCUGUGGGUAGCGCAUGCCAGCUGUCACCUCUCCCUCGACUGCCCAUGCGGACAAAUGUGCCAGCGUCUGCGCCCGUGUAUCUGCCUUGGCAUGGACUCUGAAUCCUGACAAGACAUCAAGACCCGGCUCCAGUGUAGCCCUGACAGGCUCCCUGAAUUCAGAGAAAUGUUUGAUGGUCAACCACCCUAAUGCUGAUGUCAGAGCGGAUCCAGCCCCAGAGACAAUCCUUGGGCUCCAGAGCACGUGACGCUCAGGUUUCUAAUAAAUUGCUUGUGUUUGGGAAGAAAGCCAUCCAAA